GCUUUGCGGCGUAUUCGGUGUGAUACAUCUUCACCGGAGUUGAUCCUUUCGGGUCGCGUCUGUAAUGGUGUGGCUCUAUGCUUCGAACCGUCUCCAAGAGACAACCUCUGACAAUUUGACCUCAAAUCGGGUGGGACUACCCGCUGAACUUAAGCAUAUCAAUAAGCGGAGGAAAAGAAACUAACAAGGAUUCCCCUAGUAACGGCGAGUGAAGAGGGAAAAGCUCAAAUUUUGAAUCUGGUGUCUUUGACUCCCGAGUUGUAAUCUAGAGAAGUGUUUUCCGUGUCGGACCGUGCACAAGUUCCCUGGAACGGGGCGUCAUAGAGGGUGAGAAUCCCGUAUAUGGCAUGGACUGCCGAUGCUUUUGUGAUACACUCUCAACGAGUCGAGUUGUUUGGUAAUGCCCCUCAAAAUGGGUGGUAAAUUCCAUCUAAAGCUAAAUAUUGGCGAGAGACCGAUAGCGAACAAGUACCGUGAGGGAAAGAUGAAAAGCACUUUGGAAAGAGAGUGAAACAGUACGUGAAAUUGUUGAAAGGGAAGCGUUUGAA
rnacentral:rRNA from 1 species